AGUUUGAUCAUGGCUCAAUUGAACGCUGGCGGCAGGCCUAACACAUGCAAGUCGGACGGUAGCACAGAGGAGCUUGCUCCUUGGGUGACGAGUGGCGGACGGGUGAGUAAUGUCUGGGGAUCUGCCCGAUAGAGGGGGAUAACCACUGGAAACGGUGGCUAAUACCGCAUCACGUCGCAAGACCAAAGAGGGGGACCCUCGGGCCUCACACUAUCGGAUGAACCCAGAUGGGAUUAGCUAGUAGGCGGGGUAAUGGCCCACCUAGGCGACGAUCCCUAGCUGGUCUGAAAGGAUGACCAGCCACACUGGAACUGAGACACGAUCCAGACUCCUACGGGAGGCAGCAGUGGGGAAUAUUGCACAAUGGGGCGCAAGCCUGAUGCAGCCAUGCCGCGUGUAUGAAGAAGGCCUUCGGUUUGAAAGUACUUUCAGCGGGGAGGAAGGCGGUGAGGUAAUAGGCGGGGCGAUUGACCUCCCCCCCCAAAGAAGCACUGGCUAACUCCGUGCCAGCACCCCGGUAAUACGGAGGGUGCAGCGUUAAUCGAAUUACUGGGCGUAAAGCGCACGCAGGCGGUCUGUAAGUCAUAUGUGAAAUCCCCGGGCUUAACCUGGGAACUGCAUUUGAACUGGCAGGCUUGAGUCUCGUAAGGGGGUAGAUUCCAGGUGCGCGGUGAAUGCGUAGAAUGUGGA
rnacentral:rRNA from 1 species